UAGUUCAACUUCAUAAAGAGCGCGCGACGCGGGAAAGACGCCGAAACGCUGUCAGCGAUAUUUUACCGCUCUGUGCGUUCAGGAUUACAGCCCGCACCCCUGUCAGACACAUCUCAUUUUUAAUCGUCUUAUUUUUAGGGAGUUACCCUCUCAGAGCUGCUGGAGGCAAAGCGAGCCUUCAGCCCGUCAAAGCCGGAGACUCGGGGAGACGAGCCGAGCGGAUCCGCAGAGAGACCGUGUCUCCAGAGAAGAGUCCCCGAGGACACGACCGAGACCGAGACCGGGCAGCUGUCUGACAAACACCACUGUGAACACCUGGAUGAGCAAGGAAACCGUAGAAGACGAGCAGGAAGCAGGCGUGAACGCUCAUGUUUUUGCCAGUCAUCAUCAGUUAAAGCAGCGAGUGGUCACAGCACCUCCUCCGAGUCUGAGCGGACAGACGAAAAUGACAACAUCCUCUACGGCUCCUCUGAGACGUCUCUGACACAGCGGCUGACCGAGGAGCGUGAUCUCAGCGCUGACCUGACUCAG